GUCGUAACAAGGUUUCCGUAGGUGAACCUGCGGAAGGAUCAUUAGCGCGCAGGCCGGAGGCUGGCCCCCCACGAUAGGGCCAAACGUCCGUCAGGGGUGAGCAGAUGUGCGCCGGCCGUACCGCCCCAUUCUUGUCUACAUUACUCGGUUGCCUCGGCGGGCCGCGCUCUCCCAGGAGAGCCGUUCGGCGAGCCUCUCUUUAGUGGCUAAACGCUGGACCGCGCCCGCCGGAGGACAGACGCAAAAAAAUUCUUUCAGAAGAGCUGUCAGUCUGAGCGUUAGCAAGCAAAAAUCAGUUAAAACUUUCAACAACGGAUCUCUUGGUUCCGGCAUCGAUGAAGAACGCAGCGAAAUGCGAUAAGUAAUGUGAAUUGCAGAAUUCCGUGAAUCAUCGAAUCUUUGAACGCACAUUGCGCCCCCUGGCAUUCCGGGGGGGCAUGCCUGUUCGAGCGUCAUUUCAGCCCCUCAAGCCCGGCUUGUGUGAUGGACGACCGUCCGGCGCCCCCGUCUUUGGGGGUGCGGGACGCGCCCGAAAAGCAGUGGCCAGGCCGCGAUUCCGGCUUCCUAGGCGAAUGGGCAACAAACCAGCGCCUCCAGGACCGGCCGCCCUGGCCUCAAAAUCUGUUUUAUACUUAUCAGGUUGACCUCGGAUCAGGUAGGGAUACCCGCUGAACUUAAGCAUAUCAAUAAGCGGAGGAA
rnacentral:misc_RNA from 1 species